GACGAACGCUGGCGGCGUGCUUAACACAUGCAAGUCGAGCGGUAAGGCCCUUUCGGGGGUACGACGAGCGGCGAACGGGUGAGUAACACGUGGGUGACCUGCCCUCAGCUCUGGGAUAAGCCUGGGAAACUGGGUCUAAUACUGGAUAUGACUCCACGGUGCAUGUCGUGGGGUGGAAAGCCUUGUGCGGCUGAGGAUGGGCCCGCGGCCUAUCAGCUUGUUGGUGGGGGAUGGCCUACCAAGGCGACGACGGGUAGCCGGCCUGAGAGGGCGACCGGCCACACUGGGACUGAGACACGGCCCAGACUCCUACGGGAGGGCAGCAGUGGGGAAUCUUGCGCAAUGGGCGAAAGCCUGACGCAGCGACGCCGCGUG
rnacentral:rRNA from 1 species